CGGGAGACCCGAGGCCGCCCAGAGCCCUCCCCGGGAGACCCGAGGCCGCCCAGGGCCCUCCCCGGGAGACCCGAGGCCGCCCAGGGCCCUUCCCGGGGAGACCCGAGGCCGCCCAGGGCCCUCCCGGGAGACCCGAGGCCGCCCAGGGCCCUCCCGGGAGACCCGAGGCCGUCCAGAAUCUUGGAUUCCAAAGAUCCGCUAA
rnacentral:lncRNA from 1 species